CACAACACUAGUCACACGUGAAGCAAGGGAUACGUCGGAAGACAUUAUGGAACGAAUAACUGCGCUUCUUUUUCUUUUACAGGCGACAGUAACUGUUGUCAACACAGGUUCACACUCAAUAUGGACGUUUUCAACAUUUAUUUACGGGCAGACCCAAUUCCCAGAAUUCAGUAUUUUGGCAUUUUUGGAUGAUCUUCAGGUGCUGUACUAUGACAGCAACAUCAAGAAAAUUAUCUCUCGAAGCCAACCAAGCUCCACAAAGGGAGUUGAAGAUAUUAUUCUUCUAGGUGCAAACAUUGUGGUAGAAGGCAUUUACGGUGACAUGAAAAAUCCCAUACAUGACAGGUUCUUCGGCAAUCACACUGAAGGAGUUCGUGUUCAUCAGCACCUGGCUGGAUGUGUGCUGGACAAUGACAAGCCCAGUCCGGUCAUGCUGUGGGAAGCUUAUGAUGGAAUAGACGCGAAGCGUUUUGACAUGCAUAAUUACACAGCCAACCCUCUAUGGCCACAGCUUAUGUGGACCACAAAGGAAGCAGAGCUUUAUCUAAUGGAAUUAAUGGAUAUCUAUCAGCCUAUUUGUAUCCAAAUACUGAAGUACUAUCUGGAGAAAGAAAAGAACAUUGUGCUUAGAAAAGAGCGGCCCAGAGUCAGACUAAUCCAGAAGACAUGCAGGGAGACUGGAGUGGUGAAGGUGAGCUGUCUGGCCACUGGCUUCUAUCCCCGGCACAUCAACCUGACCAUGCUGAGAGACGACCGUCCCAUUCCAGUCGAGGAGCUCAUUUUCGGGGAGGUGUUACCCAACAGAGACGGGACGUACCAGACGAGGAGAACCCUUAUUAUCAGUUCGGAGAAAGCGAGAGAGAAACACCGUUACACCUGCUCUGUCACACACCUUACUCUGGACAACAAGCUGGACAUCAACUGGGAACCAGGGGAAGGUGCUGAUGUUGCAGUCAUCAGUUCUGUGGUUGUAGUGCUGGUUCUGCUUCUGAUCUUUGCCAUCCCUGCGUUUAUCAUCUAUAAGAAGAGACGCAGAGGCAUCUAGACCUCCUUUGGAUACUUGCUUGCUAAAGUUUUAGAGUCUGAAGACCCAGCUUCACACUCCUCUAUCAUUUAGAAAUCCUUUAUUGUACCUGGUCAGGAUGAGUAAUUUUCUUUUUAGUAUUCAAUGGAAUUGCAGACUCUGAGAAGAAUAGAACUUUGGCUGAGCCAGUGGACGAUUCACCACCCAUGAACAGUGCACUAGUGCUACAGAGGAGAAGACGGAUCAGCACUGCAUCCCAUCUCUGCUAAACUACAGAUAAGCUUAGAGAUCUCCACCAUAAUACUAAGAAAAAUCAUACCACCCGGGUAGAUGGACAUUGGACACUAUAUUAUUUUGAAACUUAUUAUAGAAGCAGAGCUCUGAUAUUUUUGUUUUGUUUGGAUUAUCCAAUUAUUUUGACUAUAUAGCUUUGUAUAUUUGCAGAUUUAAAUAGAUCACUUCAAAUACGUUUUUUAUUUUUUUAAUUGCAGUUUCCAUCAAUUUUAAUGGAAAAAUCAGAUAUUUAACCAAUUCAAUUAAGGUUAGGGUAAUGAAAGUUGAGUCUGAGGGUUGAGGCAAUUCACAGCUGUGUUCAGCAGCUUAAAGAAAGGUUAGGACAUGGGUUUGUUUUUCUCUAGUAGCAUGGGUACCUAUGACCAUAAAUAGAUUUAGAAUAUAUUCAUAUUUUUUCAGGGAAAUUAUUAUUUUGUAAGUAACCUCAACCAUAUUAUUUUGCAUUUGUAUUAUUUAAUUCAUGAUUUUAGCUUUGUUUUUCAUCAAUUCUAAAUGAGUAAUUAGAUGUUCUCAAAAGUACCUAUGGUUUCAAUGAAGUUUGAGGGCUCAAAUUAGGGUUAGGGUUAGGAAAAUUAGGAAAACAGCGAGUCUGAGGGUUAAGGCGAGUUGGGCAGCUUGAAGAACAGUUAGUACAUGGGCUUCUUAAUGAUUUUGAAUCAGCCAAAUAUUUUCUAUAGUAGCAUGUGUACCUAUGGCCAUUGAUUACAAUAUAUAUUACAAUUACAAUAUAUACAUUUUCAUAUUUGAAAAAUGACUAACAUUUACAAAGCAUAAAUCAUCUGUUUUCAUAACUUACAUUUUUAAAAAUGUAUUAUUUUAUGUAAUAAUCACAAUGAAAUUUUGAUGCACUACUCAUUACACUGUUUUACAGAACCCAGCAACACCGGUGCCAUUCUAUGUUUGUAGUGUCAGUUCUGGGUUUGAUCUUAGGCAUCUCUGCGUUUGCUUCCUGUGAAGGGAAGACUGUUUAAGAGCCCAGGAGAGAGAGGUAGCAUUUACAGGAUCAUCAUGACUGGACAAAGGGUGUUAUUGUGGCCUCAAAGUGUUCCAAAAAAAAAAAAAAAGAUAACUGAAUUGUGUUGGCCAGAGGUGGUU